rnacentral:sRNA from 1 species
ACUGCUCUUCCAGAGGCAAGACCAACCAAGAUGAGUGACCUGGGAGCUGUCAUUUCCCUCCUGCUCUGGGGACGACAGCUUUUUGCACUGUACUCAGGCAAUGAUGUCACGGAUAUUUCAGAUGACCGCUUCCCGAAGCCCCCUGAGAUUGCGAAUGGCUAUGUGGAGCACUUGUUUCACUACCAGUGUAAGAACUACUACAGACUGCGCACAGAAGGAGAUGGUAAGACCUCGACAACUAUCUCUGUGCCCUACAUACAAACCCCACUCUGACAUUUCCAUGAUGGGCGGUGCUGAGGUGAUUUGCUAGAAAGUUCUUUGCUCUCCUUGGAGCCAGGAGAUUUAGAUUCUAAUAAGCGUUUUGUCACCAGUAGCCAUGGCCCUUUGGGCAGACUAACUUUUGUCAGCCUCAAGUUUUCUGUUUUGUUAAGGGGAGGCGAUGCCAUGCAGCCUACCUCAUGUAAAUCUCAGAGUCGGAUUUACAUCUCCAGCAGGAGAUGUGGGAAAAGAAGGAAUGCUGAUGAUGCUGUCACCCUCACCUAGUGAGUCUUGCUGUCCUGGCACUGCUCUAAGGGCUUUAUAUUUAUUUGCU